UACGGAGGAUGCGAGCGUUAUCCGGAUUUGUUGGGUUUAAAGGGUGCGUAGGCGGGCUUUUAAGUCAGCGGUAAAAAUUCGGGGCUCAACCCCGUCCGGCCGUUGAAACUGGGGGCCUUGAGUGGGCGAGAAGAAGGCGGAAUGCGUGGUGUAGCGGUGAAAUGCAUAGAUAUCACGCAGAACCCCGAUUGCGAAGGCAGCCUUCCGGCGCCCUACUGACGCUGAAGCACGAAAGUGCGGGGAUCGAACAGG
rnacentral:rRNA from 1 species